rnacentral:rRNA from 1 species
CGCCUCUUGUGUAUCAAUAAUAAGAGGUCCCGCCUGCCCUGUGACUACAUGUUUAACGGCCGCGGUAUUUUGACCGUGCAAAGGUAGCGCAAUCACUUGUCUUUUAAAUAAAGACCUGUAUGAAUGGCAUCACGAGGGUUUAACUGUCUCCUUCCCCCAGUCAAUGAAAUUGAUCUACCCGUGCAGAAGCGGAUAUAACAACAUAAGACGAGAAGACCCUGUGGAGCUUUAGAUAUAUAGCUGACUUUAUAACAUACCCCUAAUAAAGGAAUAAAAAAGUAAUAUUCUACUAAAUGUCUUCGGUUGGGGCGACCGCGGGGUAAAAAUUAACCCCCGUGAGGACUGGGGUAAAACCCUAGAACCAAGAGCAUCAGCUCUAAGUACCAAAAAUUUUGACCUUUGGAUCCGGUAUUACCGAUCAACGAACCAAGUUACCCCAGGGAUAACAGCGCAAUCCCCUUCAAGAGUCCUUAUCGACAAGGGGGUUUACGACCUCGAUGUUGGAUCAGGACAUCCUAAUGGUGCAGCCGCUAUUAAGGGUUCGUUUGUUCAACGAUUAAAGUCCU